rnacentral:rRNA from 1 species
AUGCACACUGAAAAGAAUGUCGGCAAGGCCCUCUUUGGUACAUUGUUCGGCAUAGAGGGGAAAAUGAAGGAUAAUCCUAAGGCCAGAGUCGAUCAGGAGGCUCUAUGUGAUAGACCGCUACAAAACAUGAAACAACCAAAAGGAAAGAAGAACUGGGCGAAGCCAAAGGCAUGGUUCAAUCUUGGAAGGCCGGUUAUGAGGGAAAUACUCCUGUGGGUGAAAAAGGAGUUGAUGUUCCCCGAUGGGUAUGCAUCGAAUCUAAAAAGGGGAGCGAGCCUUGAAAAAUUGAAAAUAUUUGGUCUCAAGAGUCAUGAUUGGCACAUAUGGCUUGAGCGGGUAAUGCCGGUGAUGUUGCGUGGCUUUAUCCCUGAGGAUGAAUGGCUAGUACUAGCAGAGCUGAGCUAUUUCUUCCGUGUUCUAUGUGCGAAAGAAUUAUCGCCUGGCUUGCUAGAAGAAAUGGAAGAGUUGGCGCCGGAGUUGAUCUGCAAGUUGGAGAAGAUCUUUCCACCUGGCUUCUUUAAUACAAUGCAGCAUUUGAUUUUGCAUCUCCCGACCGAGGCACGAUUGGGGGGGGGGGCGUGCAGAAUCGUUGGUGCUACGCAACUGAGAGGAUGCAGAAGACGCUUCAAGCAAAAUGUAAAAAUAAACAUCGAAUUGAAGCAUCAAUGGCCGAGGCAUUCAUUACUGAGGAGGCGGCAAACUUCGUGA